AUGGGUAACAUUCAAGGUAAUGAGAAACAACCUAAAACUGGAAAAUCACCUGCAAAAAGUAAACAUUUCAUAAGGAACCUAAACAGAAAAUCACCAGGCAGAGACAGUAAAAAACAUGGGAAGAAAAAGGGUGAUGCAAAACGCGAGACGAUCGAUAGGGAGUUUGAUAAAACGCCAGAUUCCGAUAACAAUGAAGCGAUCGAAACAUCCGAUAACGAUACGGUCGAGUGCGUGUUGUCAACAUCGCGGCGGGAUGCGGAGGGCGAGUCGGCGAGCGUGCACUCCGAGGUAACGGUGACCAGGUGCGAGUCGCGCGCGGGGCCGCGGUCACCGACCCGCGACCACUCCGCCCCGGCUGCCUCGGAGAACGACUCCCCGUCCGAGUCAGUGUUCACGGACCCGCUCACGCCGCUCGCCGUCGAGCUCAACCAGUGCUACUACUCCGCGGAGAGCGACAGCGCGCUCGACGAGCCUCCGCGCACCCUCACGCCCUCGCUGUCGGCGGCCGCCGCGCGCUCCGGCUCGCAGCUCGACAUGCCGCACGACGACGCCGCCUCCUCGCUGUCAACGGAUGACAUGGAAAAAGAAGAAAAAAGCGACGUAUUUGAUGACACUAGUGACAGGGGCGAUGAAAAGGUUAUGGGCGCUAUAAUUUCGGGGUUUCGCGGCGACCACAUAGACCGCAGUGCGCACGAGUGCAGCCAUGACUUCCGCGACAACCGGCUGAAGGCUUGUCCAGGGCAAACGUCGUUUACCCUCUCCAAGCACCGCAAGGUGGAGCUGACUCCCGUCGCCUGUGAAUCUUCGCUCAGUAUGCUUGAUAACGAAAAAGACCGAAGGCACUCGAGUGUCAGCGACAUGCCCAUGGGAGAGUCGAACGUGCUGCGCAAGGUGGCGUCGCUGACGCUGGAUAAGCACGCCGAGAACAGGGUGCUGCGCCCCCGGUUCGUGCCGGAGAAGCUCGACUUCCAACUGUACGAGAAGUUUGAAGGUCAGAUGCUUUUAAAUUGGUUUCUAUCAUCGAUUUCUGAGAAUAAUCACUUGAAAAACUUGUUGAACCCACAAGAUCUGAAAAACCUUGGAAUUCAAUAUUGUACUCACCUAUUAGCAGCUGGAGUUCUGAGGCAGAUUUCAGACAAAGAUGCACCUACCGAAAACAUAUUCAAGCCGAAUCUGAUGUACUACUGGGCACACAUGGAGACACCAGCAUCCCAGCCCGUGACCCCGGGCCGCCUACACAUGGCCGCUUGGCCUCCUGACAAAGAGUUACUACCGCAAAUAACUCAAGAUCAACUUAUCGUAACUAAUCGUUGCAAUGUAGACAAUAAAUUCUUUAAUCAAAAUAAUAAUGAAGAAAUAAGUGACAUCAAUGAAGCAAAAGUAACCAUUUCACAGCUAAAACGAAAACUUCAAGAACUGGAAUUCCAAUUAGAAAAAUAUAAGAUUAAUGCUCAAAUAGAUGCUCUAAAUAAAAAUUUAGGAAAGAGUUUUGACUCACCUUCUCAAGUGGUAGCUAAGACUAAAGUAGAACUAAUGAAUAAAGAAGUACAGACAUCUUAUGAAAUUAAUAAACUCUCCUACAGGCCUGUGAUAAUACCUGACCCACAUUCAAAGUCAAAUGUAAAUAUUGAUAAUGCAGUAGUAGUAAGUAGUUGCCUAAAAGAUAUAGAAUUGAAAACUGAAAAUAGAUCUGAUAAAAUUGAAAACUAUUGUAAGUUAAAUAAAAGUAGAGAUUAUAAUGAAGCUAUUAGAAAACUGGAUGUUCCUAAAAGUUCAGAAGAUAAUGCAAACAGCUCAAGAGAUGUACAGGAUGAUAAUACAAUAGCUGUAAAUAGGAAUAUCAACAAAUGUGCACAUCAUCCUAAUAAUAGUGCGACAUGCAUAAUUUCUUGCUGUUGCUGUUCUUCUGAUGCAUCAUUUCUUAGUGCAUUAACUUCAAGUGAGUCAAUGAGCAACCAAACGGAAUGUGCUUUGGAAUCAGAUGAACUGGCAUUGAAAAAUAACACUGAUUUGAAAAACACCCCUAUCACUGAAAUGUUAUUUACAAGUAUUAAGAAGAAUGUUACUUUGGAAACUAGUCAAUAUUCAGCAAUUAAUACGUCCAGUGCACCAUCAUCAGAAAUAAAAGAUGGAAAUUCUUAUUCUAAAUUGGAACAGAACAUUCCAGAAGAAGACAGUAGUAUUCAUCUAGCUAGUCUAUCCCCACCAACAUCUAGUAUUUCUACAAGUGAGACGCCGUCAGUAUUAAUUUGCCCAAAGCCACCGUCUUCCACUAGUCAACCCUCGACGCAGCCGCCUCCGCCGCUGCCGGGCGCGGCGCCGUCCCCGCCGCCCACGCCAGGGACGAAGGAAGCCACAGCGGCUACUUCAGCGCCGUCAUUGUCUGAAUUAGUUUUGUCUGAACAUGAACAACCACAUACACCUGAUGUACCAACUGGCACAUCAGCGCCAGAAAUGUCUACUGCCCCACCGCCAAUUCCUCCACCACCAUCAGCUGAAUUAUUAAUACCUUCAUCUCCAGUGGCUGGACUAGGUCCACCCCCACCUCCAAUGCCAGAUUUGGGACCCCCACCCCCAAUGCCAGAUAUGGGGCCACCUCCACCCCCUAUGCCUGAUAUGGGACCUCCUCCUCCGCCAAUGCCUGAAAUGGGGUUACAUCCUCCCCCAAUGCCAGGAAUGGGACCUCCCCCUCCCCCUAUGCCUGGAAUGGGUCCUCCCCCUCCCCCUAUGCCUGGAAUGGGACCACCUCCUCCUCCAAUGCCUGGUAUGGGUCCUCCACCUCCUCCAAUGCCUGGAAUGGGGCCUCCCCCACCGCCAAUGCCUGGAAUGGGGCCUCCCCCACCGCCAAUGCCUGGAAUGGGGCCUCCCCCACCGCCAAUGCCUGGAAUGCCGGGAGCAAGCCCCCUGCCGCCGCCUAUGCCAGGGAUGGGCCCCCCACCACCGCCGCCGAUAUCAGGCCCGCCGCCGCCGCCGGGUCAAAUGCCGUACUCAGGACCAGUGCCGUUCCCCGCCCCGCCUGUUGGUGGUUGGAGCAUGCAACGAUCGACUCUAAGAAAAACACCUGUGAAACCUGCUGCGCCUAUGAAGCCGUUAUAUUGGACACGAAUUCUAGCAAAUCAAGUAGCGCCUCCUUGCCAGGGCGAAUCAGAUUCUGUACUUUUAAAACCUCUGUGGCUUGAAAUCGAAGAAACGAACUUGGACAACAUCGAAGAGUUUACAGAUCUGUUUUCGCGGCAAGUUGUAAAAGCACCGGUUAAGAAGAAAGUUGAAGUUAAAACUAAGAUUCAACCAGUGAAGAUAUUAGAUAGUAAAAGGUCCCAAAACGUUGGUAUUCUUGCUCAAAGCUUGCACGUCGAGUUUUCGGAAAUAGAAAAUGCUAUUUAUAAUUUUGAUACGUCUGUCGUAAGUUUAGAAGCUCUACAGCAAAUAUAUGAGUUGCGUGCUACCGACGAGGAAUUGGCUAUGAUAAAAGAACACUUGAAGAGCAAAUCCGAUGUACCACUAGAUAGACCAGAGGCGUUCUUACACGACUUAUCUGGGAUCCCCAAUUUUGCGGAGAGGAUAUCAUGCUUCAUGUUCCAAGCCGAUUUCGAGGAUGCUGCCAGCACAACAAUGCACAAGUUAGACAAUUUGAAACACACGUGUGAGUUUCUAAUGACCAGUGAAUCUCUAAAGAAAUUAUUUGCUAUUAUAUUAACACUCGGUAAUUAUAUGAAUGGUGGAAAUGGGCAAAGAGGACAAGCUGAUGGCUUUGGGUUGGAGAUUCUUUCAAAACUGAAAGAUGUAAAGUCGAAGCAGUCGAACGUGACUCUGCUGCACUUCAUCGUGCGCACUUAUAUGCGCGCGUGCGGCGGCGCGCUGGCGGCCGCGUGCGCGCUGCCCGUGCCCGAGCCCGGCGACGUGGCGCGCGCCGCCGCGCUCGACUUCCAGGACGUCGCCGCCGGCCUGGCCGCGCUCACGCACAACUUGGAAGCUUGCAAGGAAAAAACCAAGAAAAUCCUUGACUCAGGUGCGCAUUUAGAGGAGUCUCCUUCGGGCGAAGGACCAAAGAGGCUCGAAGUGUUCAGAGAAAAAAUGUCUACUUUCUUAAAUGCAGCCGAAGAAAAACUUAAGACUGAAUACGAAAACUUAGAAGAUUGUCGUAGUAAAUUUAUAGCAACGAUAAAAUUUUACCAGUACACCCCAAAAUGUGGCAAAGUUGAAGACUGUGAGCCUAAGGAAUUCUUCAGUCUGUGGACAUCAUUUUGCAGUGACUUCAAAGAUAUUUAUAAAAAGGAAGAACAGAUUGCUAUAAAAGAAAAGUUAAAAGAAGCCAAAAAAAUGCAAGAGGAACGAAAAUCAUUAACCCAGCCGAAAAAAGAAGGAGGCCUAAAAGCACGACUGCAGAAGUUAUCAAGUACCAGAAAAUAAUUAUAUUCUCUGCCAUUGCUUAAGCACAAACAAUUCAAACAUUUGCCAUUUAAUUUAAAUAUUUUUAUAAUAUUUAUCGGUAAUUAUAAGUUAUGUUUAUUCUCUAGACUGCAAUCUAAGAUUAAGCGUUACAAUUGCCACCACUUUUAAUAUUGGUACAUUGAUAGUUUACAAAAUACAUCUAAACAAAAUUGGCACCUGUUUCAAACAGAACCCAACUGAGCUUAAAAUUAGAUUGAAGUCUAGAGAUGAUGUGCAGUACAUUAAUAUUAAUUAAUUUAACUUAUAAAGUGCAUUUCAGUGAUCAACGAAAAUUAAAUACAUUCCAUUUAAAAAUACUGUAUUGUGGUUUAUGCAUCUUUUGUGAAUUAAUGUCGAUUUCAGUUACAAGAAUGCUUUGUUUUUUUAAACUUGCAUAAUGUUAAAAGAAUGUUUAACAAAGCCAAUAAAUAGGCAUAUAAUUAAACUUGAACUAUUUCGCUUUUCUCAUAUAAUCUGGUUAAUAAAAUCAAUUUUGAUAUACCCAAUUGAACAAAUUAUGUUAUUGUUAGAGUUCAAUUUCAUUAAGUUGAAAGUAUUAACCGAAAAGAAUAUGUAACAACAAACCUGUUUUUUGUGUAUUCAACAUUAUUUAACCCAAUUGAGAUUUAUUAUAAAAACACAAUUUUUGGAGAAAAAAAUAAUAUUAUAAAAGUUAAUGGUGCAUGCAGCUUAAUGCACACUCGGCCGAUAGCAAUGUACCAUUUACGUCGUUUUUAAAAUAAAAAACAAUUUCUGCAAUCAUUAAUUUUAUGUAUUAAAAUUAAUUAUCUUAAAUCAUUAGUAAAUUACAUUUUCCCUGCUCAAUCAACUUAUGCGUUAUUUCAAUUACACAUUGUAUAAAAUAUAUUUUAUCUUCAUAAUGAAACUAAGAUUAUGCAAAUUACUACUGUAGGUAAAGCUAGAACAUUGAAGUAUAUCAAUAUGAAUAUGUGUGCAGUUCACAUUCAGCUGAUGUUUAAUAUUUGAGUACAUAUUAACUAAUAUUCUCAGCUGAACAUUUAACAAUAAUUGGCUUUAACUUCAACAGUUUUUAUGGCCAAAGCUAAUUUUAAAAAUUAUCACCUAUAACUAAGACCUAAACACGCUUGUUUAUUAUCUUUUAUUUAGGGCAUAUAAAAACAAAAAUAUUAUGAAUAAUUUAUUGUACCUGAUCUAUCUAUGUAUAAAAUCAACAUAUGAUUUUAGGAUAUC